rnacentral:rRNA from 1 species
UACGUAGGGCGCAAGCGUUGUCCGGAAUUAUUGGGCGUAAAGGGCGCGUAGGCGGCCUGGCAAGUGGAAGGUGAAAUCCCUCGGCUUAACCGAGGAACUGCCCUCCAAACUGCUUGGCUUGAGUCCGGGAGAGGUGAGUGGAAUUCCCAGUGUAGCGGUGAAAUGCGUAGAUAUUGGGAGGAACACCAGUGGCGAAGGCGGCUCACUGGACCGGAACUGACGCUGAGGCGCGAAAGCGUGGGGAGCAAACGGG